rnacentral:rRNA from 1 species
UACGGAGGAGGCAAGCGUUAUCCGGAAUUAUUGGGCGUAAAGCGUCCGCAGGUGGCACCUCAAGUCUGCUGUCAAAGACCGGGGCUUAACCCCAGAAAGGCAGUGGAAACUGAAGUGCUAGAGUGCAGUAGGGGUAGAGGGAAUUCCCGGUGUAGCGGUGAAAUGCGUGGAGAUCGGGAAGAACAUCGGUGGCGAAAGCGCUCUGCUGGACUGCAACUGACACUCAGGGACGAAAGCGUGGGGAGCAAACAGG